CCUACGGGAGGCAGCAGUGAGGAAUAUUGGUCAAUGGACGAGAGUCUGAACCAGCCAAGUCGCGUGAAGGAUGACUGCCCUAUGGGUUGUAAACUUCUUUUAUAUGGGAAUAAAAUGUUCCACGUGUGGGAUUUUGUAUGUACCAUAUGAAUAAGGAUCGGCUAACUCCGUGCCAGCAGCCGCGGUAAUACGGAGGAUCCGAGCGUUAUCCGGAUUUAUUGGGUUUAACGGGAGCGUAGGGGGAUUGUUAAGUCAGUUGUGAAAGUUUGGGGCUCAACCGUAAAAUUGCAUUUGAAACGGGCAGUCUUGAGUACAGUAGAGGUGGGCGGAAUUCGUGGUGUAGCGGUGAAAUGCUUAGAUAUCACGAAGAACUCCGAUUGCGAAGGCAGCUCACUGGACUGCAACUGACACUGAGGCUCGAAAGUGUGGGUAGCAAACAGGAUUAGAUACCCCUGUAGUC
rnacentral:rRNA from 1 species